UACAGAGGGUGCGAGCGUUAAUCGGAAUUACUGGGCGUAAAGCGCGCGUAGGCGGCUUUGCAAGUCGGGUGUGAAAUCCCCAGGCUUAACCUGGGAACUGCAUCCGAGACUGCAUUGCUAGAGUAUGGGAGAGGGAAGUGGAAUUUCAGGUGUAGCGGUGAAAUGCGUAGAGAUGUGGAGGAACACCGGUGGCGAAGGCGGCAUCCUGGACCAUUACUGACACUGAAAAGCGAAAGCCAGGGGAGCAAACGGG
rnacentral:rRNA from 1 species